UACGUAGGGGGCAAGCGUUGUCCGGAAUCAUUGGGCGUAAAGAGCGUGUAGGCGGCUCGGUAAGUCCGCUCUGAAAGCCCGGGGCUCAACCCCGGGAGGCGGGCGGAUACUGUCGGGCUAGAGUCCGGAAGAGGCGAGUGGAAUUCCUGGUGUAGCGGUGAAAUGCGCAGAUAUCAGGAGGAACACCAAUGGCGAAGGCAGCUCGCUGGGACGGUACUGACGCUGAGACGCGAGAGCGUGGGGAGCAAACAGG
rnacentral:rRNA from 1 species